rnacentral:rRNA from 1 species
CCUGCGGAAGGAUCAUUGCCGAGACCCGACGAGCCAAACCCGCGAACACGUGAACUCAUUGCGCGCCGGAGCGUGUGCGGCCCCGCCGACCCGCUCCGGCGCCAUCGCCCGGACCCCCGCGCCGUCGAGACCGGCGGCUGCGGGGCGGCGGGAGGACCGGACCCGGCGCGGAUGGCGCCAAGGAACCUUGAGCGCGGAGGCGCGCCUUCCGCCCCGCCCCUUGCUCGCAGGGGGCCGGCGUCGUGGGGUGCCGCCUCCGCCGAUGGCAAAGCCUCCGGGCUUUCACGGUACGACUCUCGGCAACGGAUAUCUCGGCUCUCGCAUCGACGAAGAACGUAGCGAAAUGCGAUACGUGGUGCGAAUUGCAGAAUCCCGCGAACCAUCGAGUCUUCGAACGCAAGUUGCGCCCGAGGCCAUCCGGCCGAGGGCACGCCUGCCUGGGCGCCAACCCAAGCGGCGCUCCGCUCCCCCGGGAUCCCUACGGUCCUUGGGGGCUGCCGGACGCGGACGAUGGCCCCCCGCGCCGAGCGCGCGGCGUGCCGAAGAUUGGGCCGCAGGCUGGGCCGGACGCGGCGGGUGGUGGACGCGCCCGCGAUCCCGUCGCCGUGCCUCCGGACCCUGGCCCUUAGGGCCCGCAUCGCCCAGGACCGCCCGCGUCGCCCCGGACCCCGUCCGGGGCGUUGCCCUCGGAACGCGACCCCAGGUCAGGCGGGGCCACCCGCCGAGCUU